AGUUCUUCAGUGGCAAGCUUUAUGUCCUUCUCUAGUAGCUAAAGCUGCCAGUUGAAGAACUGU
rnacentral:pre_miRNA from 2 species